UCUUUGGCUGUGGCCAAGACAACGAGGGCCUCUUCAGGGGCACCGCCGGCCUCAUGGGCCUCAGCCGCCACCCCAUUUCCUUUGUCCAACAAACCUCCUCAAUUUACAACAAAAUUUUCUCCUACUGUCUCCCCUCCACCCCCAGCUCCCUUGGCCACCUCACCUUCGGCGCUUCCGCCGCCACCAAUGCUAACCUCAAAUACACUCCCUUUUCCACAAUCUCCGGCGAAAACUCCUUCUACGGUCUCGACAUCGUCGGCAUCUCCGUUGGCGGCACCAAACUCCCUGCUGUCUCCUCCUCCACCUUCUCCGCCGGUGGCUCCAUCAUCGACUCCGGCACCGUGAUCACGCGGUUGCCUCCGACCGCGUACGCCGCGCUCCGGUCGGCAUUUCGGCAGUUUAUGAUGAAGUACCCCGUUGCCUAUGGGACCCGCCUACUUGACACGUGUUAUGAUUUCAGUGGGUAUAAGGAGAUUUCAGUUCCGAGGAUAGAUUUUGAAUUUGCCGGUGGCGUCAAGGUGGAGUUGCCAUUGGUGGGGAUACUCUAUGGGGAAAGUGCGCAACAACUGUGUUUGGCUUUUGCUGCAAAUGGGAAUGGCAAUGAUAUUACGAUAUUUGGGAAUGUGCAACAAAAGACACUAGAGGUCGUGUAUGAUGUUGAGGGUGGGAGGAUAGGGUUUGGUGCUGCUGGGUGCAACUGAAGUUAGUUUGAUUAAUAGUGGUGUUAAUUAAACAUGCUUUGGGCUUGUUAGGGAGGAAGAAAUCUUAAUUGGCUCUGGCAUUUUUAAUUACUAUUGUUGUUGUUACUGGAAAGUACUCUAAAACAUAUGAAAAAAUAAAUAAAGGAAAUGAUGUGGGAAAUAUGAUGUAACAUGUAGAAUGGAGGGGGUGUUAUAUUAUACAUAUGACUCCCAACCAUUGGGGUUGCUUGCAAUUGCACAUACAUGGCUAAUAUGGUUUUAUAAUAGUUAACUUAGCUAAACAUAUUAAAUUUAUUAAUAAUUUAUACUUUGUUGAACUCAUAAGCAAAAAAAAAACUAAUUUUACACUAAUAAAAUUAGUUGAAAUAAUUUAAUUUUAUUAAUUUAAAGUAAAAUAGUAAGAUUAUCUCUACAAAAAUUUUAUUAGAACUUGAUAUCACGAAUAAAUAAAAUACAUAAAAAUAGAAUUCAAUUAAAUAUAUUUUUUUAAAAAAUAAUAUUAUUAAAUAAGGAUAAAUAAUUAGAUUUGUUUAUAUUUAAAUUCAAGCCCUUAAAAAAAUUAAAAUUAUCAAAGAAUGGAAUAUGUCACAAAAUAAACAUAAAAGCGUCGUACGAAGAUUUUGUGACUAGCAAAUGCUCUCACAAAUUUUGGCGUCCUAUAAGCACUUAAGUGAGGGACUUUUUGUCCCGUCACAUACAAUGACAGAAUCUAUUGUGAUUCAUCUACCUCAACCCCCACUAGACCAAUCUUGUGUGUAGAAUGUGAGAAUAAAUAAUCAUUUUUCUAUGUAAAUUUGUAAAUAACAAUAAUACAUUAAAAUCAAAUAUAACGAAUAAACAAGCUAAAUAAUUAUGAGUUUAAUUUGCUUGAUAUCUCAUAAUAUCCAGUAGUGAAUAUAUUAACAACAUUCAAAGUUUUGUUUAACAUCCAAAGUCUUAAAAUACCUAUUUUAUAAAUAUCUAUUUAAAGUCUUAUAAUUUGUAACAUAAGUAGAAUAUAUAAUUAAUUUUCAAACACCCAUAUUAUCAUCUAAUUCAUCAUCUUGUUGAUCACGUGUAGGAAGUUAUGGACCACAUUGAAUUGGUUGAGAUCUUUGACCAACUGAAACAUUCUCCAUAAAUUAAGUCAUUUUUGCUCACAAAACAAAUGGCCCUCUUGUGAUUCAACAAACAUGUCUUUCAAGUUCUUAUCUUUUUCAAUCAAAUCGAAAACUUUAGUUCAUUUUCUCAUAUUCAUGCGAUGAGAAACCAUAAGAUGAUAUGGAUGAGAAAGAAAGCUUGUAUUUCCUUGCCUCUAAACCUAGACCAAAUAUCAAUUGUUAGAUCCCUUAAGAUAUAAAACCUUUUUUCUUAUAUAUGAGUUUAGAUGAAUUAUUACUCUUUCAAAAUUAUCCUUCAUUUUUUUCUACUUAAUUAUUUCUUACCUAAUUAGUCGUAGUCGACCUCUACUAAAAAAUAGUCUCAAUUAAUGUUAGUAAAAUAAUUACCUUUUCGACCUUGACUAGAGUUUUUUUCCCAAGGCAUGCUUUAAAAUUUAAAAAUCCAAUGAAAUUUAAUAACAUAUUUUGGAUAUAGUUAGUUACGGAAUGAUUCUAUAUAAUCUAAUUAUAUAACCUGAUUUCUUUGAAAACUCCUAAUAAAAACCAAUUAUUGUUUCCUUUCAAAUGUGUGAUUUGAUAAAGGAACUCUAUUCUUUGACUCACUUCCUAAUUUACUUAGAAGAGUUUCUUAAAAGUAUUAAUGAAUGAGGUUCCUAAUAUAUUUCAAAGAGGUUUUUAAAAGUUUUAUUGGAUGAGGUUUCAAUGCUACAUUACUCUAACAUUGUUGUUUAAGAUAAAUAAAAAGGAAUAAAUUAUAUUUUUAAUUGCACUUUUUAUCUUUAUUUUUUAAAAAAAUUUGAUGAUUUUUUUCUUAAAAUUAAUUUGUCAUAUUUUAGACAUAAUUUUUAAAAAAUUUGUGAAUUUCAUCAUUUGUCAUUCAUUUAUUAAUAAGCAAAAGUUAUGACUAUAGUUUACCAAAAACAAAAGUUUAGGACAGAAUUUGUUAAAAAAUAAAAAAUGUUGCGUAAAAAAACUUUCAAAAAUCAAAAAGUUAGAGAUAAACAAUGUAAUUAUUUCAAAAGGAAAAUGACGGAAGAUAAACAAUGUAAUAAUUUGAGAUAAAUUAUCUUAAAUUAAUUUUUUGAGGUGAAAUUUGUCAAAAAUUAUAGAAGUUAAGAGUAGAAAAUGCAAUUAGACCUAAAAAUUAUAGAGAUUAAAAAAAAUUAAAUCACCAUAGUUAAAAUUAUAUUUAAACCAAAAAUUAAUAAAUAGAAAAUAAUGUGAUUGAAGAAAGUACUACUCCGAUGACGUUACACCACCAACAUGGCAAAACCUCCAUUCAAAAGCCCUAGGUAUUCCCCGAUAUACUUUUGAGGAUCAAAGGGUCAACUGACUUUGUACAAACAAAAGUCAAGUCACGUUAGUCGAUCGGAUUGGUUGCGUAUAUUGCGGUGGAAACUUUGAUCUUAUCUCCACUUUUUAUUUUUUUUUAAUUUUACACUAGGAUAUAUUUAAAGGAUUUCAUACAACUGUUAUAUUUUUUUUUAGUAAGAACUAUGUAUACUGAUUAUUAAUAAUAAUAUUUGUUUUUAAAUUAAAUAUAUGCAUAUGAUUAUUAUUUUAAUAUUAAUCGACGAGUUAACAGGUUAGAUUUCCAGACCAAUUAGUUUAAAAAUUAAAAUCCAUGAUCCAACAUGUGUAUGAAAAGGUUAAAAUAGAUUGUUCAAUGUGUUUGAGUCCAUUUGGAUCCAUUUGAGUUAGAGAGUGACACAUGUUUUUGAACAAUUCUAAAUAUGCCCGUGUUACAUAUAAAAGAUUAUAGUUGUAGAUGAGAUAUGUGUAUAAUAUAAAUAAGUCAUAAUUACAUAGUAAUUUUCACUUUGGACCAACAUUUGCUAAUUAGAGUUAAGAUGAAUAAGUUUAUUUACUUUUUAAAAUAAAGUUCUUAUUAUUUCUUUUUAUGACUUAAGUUUAAGACAUUAUUUUUAAAAAAGUAAAUUAUGUCAAUAAACAAAUAUUGACAACUUAAAGUUAAAAUAUAUUUUAUAUACAUUGAAAAAAAUAUAUUUUUAUGUAAAAAUGCAUACAUAUAUUUGUGUACAUACUUGCAUUUGUUUGUAUAAAGUUUGAGGAAACUCAAUAAUUAUAGUUCAAUUGAUAAUAUAAGUUAAUUUUGUAAAAAAGAUUUAGGUUCAAUUUUCAUAUAAUAGAUCACCUUUGAGAAGAAGUAAUAGAUUUUUGGUGUGACUAAUUCUCAUCGAUAAUUAAUCUCAUUAUCCCUAAAUGCCAUAAUUAUUGUUAUAACAAUGCUAAGCAAUAUUAGUGUUGAGAUUGACCAAGAAUAACAAGCUUAAUUAAUAUUAAUGAAGUAGUGUAUUUUGGUAUACAUAUUUAUCAAGUGACGUUAAAGAAUUAAUAAUCUAUAUAUUUGGACACGAUCAAUGAAUUAGCCUAUAAAGACCAAGUAUUCCGACGGAGUUGUCGUAUAACCAGGCUUAUGUAUAUAUUAGCUAUUAAUCUUCAGUUGACAUGCACAUCCAAAUGUCUUCUUUCCUCUUAGCUUCAAUUCGCUUGCACUUUUGUUUUUCAUCUCCUCCUUGGAGAAGAGCUUUGCCUUUCAAGCAACAAAGGAAAGCAACAAUCUUCGUCAUAUCAUUUUGUUCACCUCAACUCUCUAUUUCCAUCAUCUUCUUGCAGCUCUUCUGCCAAAGGUCAAUCCAAUCUUCAAUUCCUUGUUUUUUUAUUAUGUUUUUCAAUAAUAGCUAGAGUUUCUCUUUGAUAAUUUAAGUUAACAAUCAAGUAAAUCUUUUUAUAUGAAGUAUUGAAGAGAGACUCUUAUUCUAAUUGAAGAGGAAUGUUAAUAUACUCUCUCUACCACUCUUUCUAGUGAGACUUUCUUUAAAAGUUAGAAGAGAAAAUUAUUAAAUAAAACAUAAAACAUUCAAAAAUUAAUAAUUUUUAAUAAAUUUCAGCUAAAAAUUAACAAGGAAUUUUUAUCUAGCUAAAAAUUGCAUACCAAACCUAGAUAUAAUUGAUGUGUACCCGAUAAAAUGUAGAAUUAUAUUUAUUGAUUGAAAAAAAUUAAUAAAUGAUAUCAUAACAAAUGCAUAUAAAUAUGUAAUAAAUUACACAAUCAUUAAAAUCUGGUUUCCUUUUAACUUUUAGCUAUUAGCUGUGUACGUGUUUUCUCUUAAGGACUCUUUCAAGUCACAUCCUUAUGUUAAAUCAAUUUUGAUUAUUCACUUUAAUAUGAUGGUUGAUUAACAAUCAAUGAUUUGGCAACACUAAUUCUAAUUCAGGUCCUAAAAGGAAAGCAUCAUUAGAAGUGGUACAUACACAAACAUGGUCCAUGCUCCCAACUAAAACAUAGAGGCAAAGCAGAGGCUACAAUAUCACACAAUGAUAUUAUGAACCUAGACAAUGAAAGGGUAAAGUAUAUUCAGUCCAGGCUCUCUAAGAAUUUGGGUCGAGAAAAUACUGUGAAGGAUUUGGAUUCAACUACCCUACCCGCCGAGUCUGGUAGCCUUAUUGGGUCUGCAAACUAUGUUGUUGUUGUUGGUCUUGGUACACCAAAGAGGGACUUGUCACUUGUUUUUGACACAGGUAGUGAUCUUACAUGGACUCAGUGUGAACCCUGUGCUGGUUCUUGCUACAAGCAGCAAGAUGCAAUCUUUGAUCCAUCAAAGUCUUCAUCGUAUACCAAUAUCACAUGCACAUCUUCCCUCUGCACUCAACUCACUUCUGAUGGUAAAUCUUUACUUUUGAAUACAGAAAUUAAUGAAGAAAAUAUUUAAACUAACAGGAUUACUGAGGCACUUAUAUAGUCUGAUACCAUCAAAUUAAAUGUUUAGAUAGAAAACAACCAUAAUUUUACAAUAUCACAAAUCCAAAUAUAGAUGUAAGUAUUUAGACGGUUGCUUACUUGAUGAAAAAUUAAAUAAAAAAAAGUAAAAAUCAAGAUACUGGAAUGAGAAAAAAUUAAAUGAGAUGUGUAUUUAAUUUGUUCAAUUUAUGAGAAAAAAUCAUGUUAUAAUUCUUAAUUAUAUGUUAUGUGAUGAUUAAUUAGAAACCAUGUGUGAUGAAGAUCAUUUAAUCAUUUUUCAACGAGAAGGGUUGCAAUAUUUGAUUAUAUUAUUAUUUAAUUUUUUUUUCCAUGCAGGAAUUAAGUCAGAAUGCUCCUCAUCCACAGAUGCAUCAUGCAUAUAUGACGCCAAAUACGGUGACAAUUCCACCUCCGUCGGCUUCUUGAGUCAGGAGCGCCUUACCAUCACCGCCACCGACAUCGUCGACGACUUCCUGUUCGGCUGCGGCCAAGACAAUGAGGGCCUCUUCAAUGGCUCCGCCGGCCUCAUGGGCCUCGGCCGCCACCCCAUUUCCAUUGUCCAACAAACCUCCUCAAAUUACAACAAAAUUUUCUCCUACUGUCUCCCCGCCACCUCCAGCUCCCUUGGCCACCUCACCUUCGGCGCUUCCGCCGCCACCAAUGCUAGUCUCAUAUACACUCCGUUGUCCACAAUCUCCGGCGACAACUCCUUCUACGGUCUCGACAUCGUCAGCAUCUCCGUUGGCGGCACCAAGCUCCCUGCUGUCUCCUCCUCCACCUUCUCCGCCGGUGGCUCCAUCAUCGACUCCGGCACCGUGAUCACGCGGCUGGCCCCGA
rnacentral:lncRNA from 1 species